CAGAUUUGAGGAACAGGAGCCACAGGCACCACCACCUUCUGAGUGCGGACGCCAGAAGACAUGGAGAGGCAAGAGAUGGAAUCACAUAGAGAACACUGCUGAUGGCACGUCAGGGCCAAGGUUCUCUCCAGAACACCGCCUGAACAUUGUGUUUGUGGAUGACAACGGUUCUGAAGAGGGUGCAGUGGAUGACGGGGGCCCAACCAGGGAAUUUCUGCGCCU